GAUGAACGCUAGCGGUGUGCCUAAUGCAUGCAAGUCGAACGGGAUCCUUUGGAUUCGUCUGAAGGUGAGAGUGGCGAACGGGUGAGUAACACGUAGGUGACCUGCCCCGGAGAGGGGGACAACCACUGGAAACGGUGGCUAAUACCCCAGAUGUUAUUGCGCUUAGAAAGCAAUUACUAAAGUUCCGGCGCUCCGGGAGGGGCCUGCGGCCCAUCAGCUUGUUGGUAAGGUAAUGGCUUACCAAGGCUAAGACGGGUAGGGGGCGUGAGAGCGUGACCCCCCACACUGGUACUGAGACACGGACCAGAUACCUGCGGGUAGCAGCAGCAAGGAAUAUUGCCCAAUGGACGAAAGUCUGAGGCAGCAACACCGCGUGGAGGAUGAAGGCCUUC
rnacentral:rRNA from 1 species